CCUACGGGAGACAGCAGUGGGGGAUAUUGCACAAUGGGGGGAACCCUGAUGCAGCGACGCCGCGUGGGUGAAGAAGCGCCUCGGCGCGUAAAGCUCUGUCAGCAGGGAAGAAAAUGACGGUACCUGAAGAAGAAGCCCCGGCCAACUACGUGCCAGCAGCCGCGGUAAUACGUAGGGGGCAAGCGUUAUCCGGAUUUACUGGGUGUAAAGGGGGCGCAGACGGCGAUGCAAGCCAGGAGUGAAAGCUCGGGGCCCAACCCCGGGACUGCACUUGGAACUGCGUGGCUGGAGUGCAGGAGGGGCAGGCGGAAUUCCUGGUGUAGCGGUGAAAUGCGUAGAUAUCAGGAGGAACACCGGUGGCGAAGGCGGCCUGCUGGACUGCAACUGACGUUGAGGCCCGAAAGCGUGGGGAGCAAACAGGAUUAGAUACCCCGGUAGUC
rnacentral:rRNA from 1 species